rnacentral:rRNA from 1 species
UACGUAGGGGGCAAGCGUUACCCGGAUUUACUGGGUGUAAAGGGAGUGUAGGCGGUCUGGCAAGUCUGAUGUGAAACUCCGGGGCUCAACCCCGGAACUGCAUUGGAAACUGUCAGGCUAGAGUGCAGGAGAGGAAAGUGGAAUUCCUAGUGUAGCGGUGAAAUGCGUAGAUAUUAGGAAGAACACCAGUGGCGAAGGCGGCUUACUGGACUGUAACUGACGUUGAGGCUCGAAGGCGUGGGGAGCAAAC